rnacentral:lncRNA from 1 species
AGCAACGAAGGGAUGGAACUAAUUCCAAUUUUCAAGGUUGCUAUAUUGUUCUCCAUUGCCCAACAUCUUCCUAUAUUCCUUCAAGAUAUUCAAGGCAAUUUUAUUGGUGAAUUUAACAACAUAAUUCUUGUGAUCCAGCAACCUACCUUUGGGAAAACAUCAAAUCCACUUUCAUCAAAUACCACAACAAAUCCUUCUAGAACAUUUGUUGAGACUUGAAGAUCAGGGAAGGAGAUCGGGGUUUCAAUCGUCGGAGAACGAGGAGUUCUCUGAAAUCCACAGGAGAUAGACGAAAUCAAGAGUCGGGAAUUGGUGUAAAGCACACAAUCCAGGGGGCCUAGGGGCCGAGAGUUGGUGCAGGAUCACGCAUUCCAGGAGGACUUUUGUGAAACUACAAUCAAGAGGUUAAAAAAACUAAUGUGAGUUGAGUCUGACAAAUUGUAAGAGGUAUUUUCAUUUAUAGCAGAUUCGUACUGGCUUGGGCUUGGAGUUUUACCUACAUUGGGGUUUCUCCGUCAUCAAACAACUGUGUUCUUUAUAUUUCUACAAUUUACUUGUUCCCAGUAAUUCAACAUAGGAUAAUAAAGCAUGUGAAUUGAUCUAGACAUAUUAAUAAUUGUGGUUUGUUGCAUUUAUUAAUUAAUUAGUAAAAAAAUCCGCAUAAUCACCUAUUCACCCCUCUAGGUGUUGAUUGGGUCAAACUACGUUAUUUCAAUUUUCAAUGGAGGAACCUCCAUGUUUUAACUCUGAAUUUUGAGCAAUAUGACCCUAAGAUCUGCUUCAUAAUCGUUGUCUCUUUUCUUACGAUUUAUGUUGUUGCCACAUCAAUCUGUUUUUUAUUAUUAUUUUUAACCUGUAUGUUUAUCAUUUUCCUUCCAAAUAUGACAUGUGAAGCGCAUGUAUUAUAGACCAUGCUGGUUGUACAUGGGCCUUGGGCGUCAAGUGGCAUCCUUAUAGGUGGGGAGUAGGCUCCCCCAUGCACCCUGGACAACCAUUAUAACCCAUAUAUUAAAAAAUAUGACAGGUGAAAUGUCAAAUGUGACUAGAAGAACUUUUUUUAGUUUUAUUUUAUUUAUGAGUAAAGUAGUAUGUUUUCUCUAAAGACCUUGAAUUUACUCAUUUUUGCAACUAUGGGGAAAAUUUUCUAGAAAGAAUGAUGAAGUUUCUCUCUCCAAAGCACCAUAAAUAAAAUAAUGUUAAUAGGGUAGUGCUACAAGUACACAAUAAUUUACAUAAUGAUUUAUCAACAGAUAAUGUGAAUAUAUUUAAUUGAAUCAAAAUCUCAUCAAUUAAAUAACUUUCCCACUUAUAUUUUGACACCUCAUCAUUAUUGUUAGGUUCUAUAUUUUAAUUGGCAUUCUAUGAACAAAAAAAGACUAAAUUGUAUAUAUCUAAAAGUUAAGGCGUGAAAUGCAUAAUUAUAUAGUUGAGUUGGGCUAGGGUUUAAGCUUGUAAAAUUAGAGGCCCGUAAGUCAAAGUCUCUAUAUAUACACACGCAUAUGCACUGAAGAAGAGUGUCGUUGGCUGCCAUAUUGAUAUACAUAUACAAACAGAAAACGGCAUAAGGUGUCGGCUGCUGAAUAUAUGUAUAUAUAAAACAGGGAAAUAUACCUAUGCGCCUACGUCUGGGAAUUGAAGUCGUUGAAUUAAUAAAAUCAGCUAGCUGCUUUAGGAGUUAAAAGGUGGGAUGAAAUCGGAUUGUUGAAUAAAAAAGGAGUCGGCAACUUGGAGGGGGAAUUGAGCUAAAUUUCCUAUAUUCUCACAAAGUUAAGGGCUGCCUAUUGAAGUCAGCUGUUGGAAUUAAAAUUGGAUGCUGCUGGGUUGAAUUGGUAGGCUGAGAGAGUUGACCUUUAUAUAUAAUUCCCUCAGAGACGAAGAAUAUUUGGUGGCUGAAUUAUAUUAUUAUAUAUAUACACUUUUGGGCUGAAUUGUAUCACGUAUUACACAGAAAUUGUGGCAGGAAAAGUGGCGGGUUGCUGUUAUUAUAUAUAUAUAUAUCACCCAUGGCAAAGGAGUCCUGGAAAAUUGAAUUGGCCGGCAACCAAAAAAAAAAAAGCAGCAACGAAGGGAUGGAACUAAUUCCAAUUUUCAAGGUUGCUAUAUUGUUCUCCAUUGCCCAACAUCUUCCUAUAUUCCUUCAAGAUAUUCAAGGCAAUUUUAUUGGUGAAUUUAACAACAUAAUUCUUGUGAUCCAGCAACCUACCUUUGGGAAAACAUCAAAUCCACUUUCAUCAAAUACCACAACAAAUCCUUCUAGAACAUUUGUUGAGACUUGAAGAUCAGGGAAGGAGAUCGGGGUUUCAAUCGUUGGAGAACGAGGAGUUCUCUGAAAUCCACAGGAGAUAGACGAAAUCAAGAGUCGGAAAUUGGUGUAAAGCACACAAUCCAGGGGGCCUA